ensembl:lncRNA
AUGACCUCCUCCCCAUUCUCCAUGGUGAACCCAAUCUGGUGUGGGUCUCAUGUAGGUGAUCACAGCUACUGAGAGCUCAAGAGAGCAAAGGCCAGUAAGCCUUCACUUCUGCCAAGAUGAUGACUAUGGUAAUUUGGGUUUUGUGUACAUUGUAAUAUAAGGAGGUGCUUCCAUCCUGUGGAUUCCUGCUCAUCUCUGUUUCCUGCUCAUUCCUGCUCUCCUCUGCAUACAGAGGAGUAUCCCAGCUGGCAAAGUCUACAUGUGUCUACAUUCAUGUAUCUGCUUCCUGGAAGACACACCCACCUCCACUCCCAGUCAUCAGUCAUGAUGGGGUUUACAACCAAGUUUAUGAAAGAGAAGUGGAAGCUGGAAACCAGGAUACUGAGAACAGCAGAGAAAUCAGCAGCAGGAAAAACAGGGUGAAUCAACUCAUCUGCAUAAAGGAAGGCCAGAUGAGCAAAAGACAGGUAAUCCUUUCCUGCCACACCCACGUUUUUCUAGGAUGCUACAUGAAGCUUCCUCCCAUACUCAGGAUGCAAAUCACCACAUCAAUUAAGGCCAUCAGGACAAUUCUUGGGGUGAGCAUCCAAUUCAUGGCAAAUUGAUGAAAAAGAACAACAGCCAUCACACUUUGAUGACUUCUCUUCGAUAUCAACAUGUCCUAACCAUCUCUAAGCGUCUCAUACAUGGUCUCCCCUUCCUAGUCAUUGUCCAGGUCUCCAGUGUGCAGGGAAAACAUUCAUUUUGCUUUCUCCAUUCAUCUGCCACACAAGGCCACUGUUUAUCAUUCUGAGUGCUUAGCUGAUAUCUCAUUGCCUCUUCCUGCUUGGGACAGUACUCGGUUUGCUUUUCAUGUCUUCUUGGAAGAGUGCCCGCUCUACCACAGCGUGUGAGGACACUCUCCCACCUGGACCUCUGAUCUCUUCUUAGCUAUUCUUUUCUACUGAGCCCCUCUAUGUACAUCAAGGGCACCAAGUCACUGCUGUUUCUCAAUCCCACAUGACAUUUAGCCUUCUUGUCUUUGCACGUAACCCUUAUGUCUUGACUAUCACCUGCUAGAGUGAGGUCUAGUCAUCUCUAAAGUCUAAUAAAUACCACACACACUCUCAGAAGUCCCCAAUGGUGACCCUAACCUAAAGGCAUCACUGUUUUUCUAUCACUGCCUAACAUCUUGCUUCUUUAACAACAUACAUUAUAGGGCAGGAAACCAUUCCUCUACACUUCUGUUGCUACCAGAAAGGUGUGCUCUUUGAGGUGGGGCCAGAUGUUUAUCCAAUUCUACUGGUUCAGCUGCUUUCCUGCUGCUUGCCAUAUGUUAGACGCCACAGAUGGACUGAUGUGUUUCUAUAUCUGCUCAAAAGAAGUGCAGCUCACUAAUCACCCUUACACACACCUUAAAAUAAAAAGCCAGCCGGUCAUAGUAAAUAACUUUUUUUCACAUUCUAACAUCUAUAUGAAUUAGGCUGUGAGGGCUAGCCAGGAAUUCAUGAGAAAGGGAUGAAAUUUCAGUUGUGGCUGUGAAUUACUAAGGCUUGAGUCAACUCCAAAUCCCCACCUUGGUCCUUUGCAUAUAUCCAGGUACAGUGGUUUGACCCUGAGAUGUUCUCAAGGGUUUGAGGUUGUAGAGUCUUUAAGAGAUGGUGCUUAGUGAGAGUUCUUUGGGUCUCUGGGGUAUAGUCUUGAGAUGUUGGCCCUCUGGUUUCCUUUAGUUUCAUUUCUUGCUUCUUGGCUGCCAAGAAAAGAGCAGCUAUAGCCAUUCUUCUCUCCCACCAUGAUGUACUGACUCAUCAUAGACUCAAGAGAUACGAUCAACCUACUGUGUACUGGAAUUCCCAAUGCUGUAGCCCAAAUAAACUUUUCUUCUCAACAAGUUGGUUUGUCUCAG